GUCCACGCUGUAAACGAUGGGCACUAGGUGUGGGGGGUGUCGACUCCCUCCGUGCCGAAGCUAACGCAUUAAGUGCCCCGCCUGGGGAGUACGGCCGCAAGGCUAAAACUCAAAGGAAUUGACGGGGACCCGCACAAGCAGCGGAGCAUGUGGUUUAAUUCGACGCAACGCGAAGAACCUUACCUGGGCUUGACAUGUUCUUGACAGCUCUGGAAACAGAGUCUCCCUUCGGGGCAAGAUCACAGGUGGUGCAUGGCUGUCGU
rnacentral:rRNA from 1 species